UCUCCUUCUUCUCUGCAGCAACCGCAUCGGAUCCCUAGGGUUUAAGCCGCACAGCCUCCACAGCUCGAAACCCUCGCCGCCGAUCGGAUUCGGAGAAAGAGACGCGAAACAAGAUGUUCCUCGGCGCGGUCCCGCGUCGCCCGAGCAAGGAGGCUGCGUACAAGCAGCUGCGGUCGCACCUCGUCAUCAUGGCCUCCUGCGCCGCCGUCAUCCGCGCCGCCCCCUACAUCCUCCACUUCCUCACCCGCGACGGCGAUGUCCAGGAGCUCAAGCUCGAGCUCUAGGCCCCUCAGUUCCCAUGCCACCUCCAAAGGUUCUACAAAGGCAAUCGUCAUUUGAGACUACUGCAAAGUAAUAUGAAGUCAGCGACCCCAGUGCUACUUAAGUUUCUUUGUUCUUUCAAAUUUAGUGACAAUGGUGUAGUAACUGGCUUGUGACUGUGACCAGUAUUGCAUUUUGCCUAUCUGUAUGGUCUAGACUUGUCUGCAUUGGUGGAUCUGCAGAGAUGUUAUCAUUCAACCAUUCUCUGAGCUCAGUUGCCAUGUGUAGGACUUGUUUCGGCUUGAAUUUGUUAUGUGUCUGAGCUAUUCUUA